UGGAGAAUAACGCGUGGCUGGAGGAACAAUUGAAAAAUGGAUAAGAUAAUACAACAAAAGGAUGAUCAAAUUAUGAAGCUGCAAGCCCAAUUAUUGGAACAACACAAAAUAUUAGAUAACAGCAAAGCUAAGGAUGCUCAAAUUUUGAGUCUACACAAGCUCAGCUAGGGGAAAAGAACAAAUUGGAACAGAACAGUUUCCAAACAGUGAAGGAGGUUUUUCCAAACUCAUCCCUAACUGAACAUGAGGAUGAAUUGGCAUUAGGCGAACACAGUCAGUUAUUCAGUCUACCACCUGACAGUGUGUUAAAGUUAAAUUCUGUUAGUGCUGCACUAAAAGAAUUGUUAGUAAUAAGUCCAUGCAGCGAAGGAAGUGAACAAUUGUGGGACCAUAUUUGGGCUGAAAAUGGGUGUGGUACGGAAACCCAGAAAUAGCACGAGUUCAACAUAAAACAUGAAUUAGAAUUUUAGUGGGGGAUCAAGUCAAGUCUGGAAGUGUUACAGGAUGGAAGAGUGAGCCUACAGUUGAAAAACACUGAAAGUGCAUUACCAUUAAGGUAUGAGGUAAAGUAAUAGAGUAUGCAAAUUGUCUAAUGAGAAGUACCAUCUUGUGUGAAUGAAUCCUGUGUAACAGCAAUCCUUUGUAGUUCUGUCACAGCUAGAAGCCUCAAAUAAUUCUGCUUCUCUUGCUAAAGAACAACUUGUCCUUUACGUUCAGAGUGUUGGUGAAGCUGGGUACUUAA